rnacentral:rRNA from 1 species
GGAGUACCGGUCGCAAGAUUANAACUNAAAGGAAUNGACGGGGAUCCCGCACAAGCGCUGGAUGGAUGUGGACUAANUCGAUGCAACGCGNNAAAACCNUACCUACCCCUUGACAUGUCAGGAAGUCCCGCUGAGAGGUGGANGUGCCCGAAAGGGAACCUGAACACAGGUGCUGCAUGCCUGUCGUCAGCCUCGNGUCGUGAGAUGUUGGGUUAAGUCCCCGCAACGAGCGCAACCCUUGUCAUUAGUUGCUACAUUCAGUUGGGCACUCUAAUGAGACUGCCGGUGACAAACCGGAGGAAGGUGGGGAUGACGUCAAGUCCUCAUGGCCCUUAUGGGUAGGGCCUCACACGUCAUACAAUGGCGCAUACAGAGGGUUGCCAACCCGCGAGGGGGAGCCAAUCCCAGAAAGUGCGUCGUAGUCCGGAUUGGAGUCUGCAACUCGACUCCAUGAAGUCGGAAUCGCUAGUAAUCGCGGAUCAGCAUGUCGCGGUGAAUACGUUCCCGGGUCUUGUACACACCGCCCGUCACACCAUGGGAGCGGGUUUCACCAGAAGUAGCUAGCCUAACCUGCGAAGGGGGGCGGUUACCACGGUGAGAUUCGUGACUGGGGUGAAGUCGUAANCAAGGUACC